GCAUAGCUGGGUAGCUAAGUCGGGACGGGAUAAACGCUGAAAGCAUCUAAGCGUGAAGCCUCCUUCAAGAUGAGAUUUCCCAUAGCGUAAGCUAGUAAGACCCCUUGAAGACUACAAGGUUGAUAGGUCAGAGGUGUAAGUGUGGCAACAUAUUUAGCUGACUGAUACUAAUAGGUCGAGGGCUUGACCAAUAA
rnacentral:rRNA from 1 species